GUGCUUGCUGUGGCAGCAUAUAUACUAACAUUGGAACGAUACAGAGAAGAUUAGCAUGGCCCCAGCGUGAGGAUGAAAAUUCACGCAAAUUCGUGAACUGUUCCAUAUUUUU